CUAGUGAUGACCUGCAGCAUGCGCUACAUGUGCAGCAAGCCUCUGAGCAGACAGCACAAAGAAGGUUGAAGGCUUUCUCGUACAUGCGACAUGCCAUCAACAAACCUCUCUCAGGUAUGCUUUAUUCUAGGGAAACACUCAAGAGCACAGGUCUGAAUGAAGAGCAGAUGAGGCAGGUCCAUGUUGCAGAUAGUUGUCAUCGCCAGCUAAACAAGAUACUUGCCGACUUAGAUCAAGAUAACAUUACUGACAAGUAAUCUUCUAGUCUUUUAAACUGUUCUAUUAGGUUAUUGUGUUUACUUUCAUCUACCUCGUUAUUUGACAACUUUCUGAACUGUAGGUUAAUGGUAUCACUUAAUUUUAUUUCACUAACUACUACUGAAGCUUAUAGCCAUAUUCGUUACUACCAACUUAAUAUUUAUGUACCAUUAUGUUCACAGGUCAAGUUGCUUGGAUUUGGAUAUGGCUGAAUUUGUGUUGGAAGAUGUGGUGGUGUCUGCUGUAAGUCAAGUACUGAUAGGUUGCCAGGGUAAAGGUAUCAGAGUUGCUUGCAACCUGCCAGAGAGAUUCAUGAAGCAAAAAGUUUACGGGGAUGGUAUCCGACUCCAACAGAUCCUCUCCGACUUCUUAUUUGUUUCGGUGAAGUUCUCUCCUGUUGGUGGCUCUGUUGAUAUCUCUUCCAAACUGACUAAGAACAGCAUUGGGGAAAACCUUCAUCUCAUAGACUUCGAACUUAGGUACACUUGCCAUGCUAAUUUGCAUGCAUACACUCAUUUCUGAAUAGGAAAUCAUAAGGUAUGAAGGCUUAAAUUACUCUUGUGUUUAUGGAUUUAUGGUUUUCAGGAUCAAGCACCAAGGAGCAGGAGUCCCAGCAGAAAUAUUGUCACAAAUGUAUGAGGAGGACAAUAAAGAGCAGUCAGAGGAGGGUUUGAGCCUUCUUGUUUCUAGAAACCUUCUGAGGCUCAUGAAUGGUAACAUUCGUCACCUCAGGGAAGCUGGCAUGUCAAC
rnacentral:lncRNA from 1 species